rnacentral:sRNA from 1 species
UACAAGCUGCACUGUUCGUAAUGAUAAUAAAGUUUUAACCUUUAAGCUGUAAUAGGGAGUUUUAUAUUGAAACAGGAAUGUUAUGCCUCGUCACUGACUUGGACAACAGGAUUUUUUCUGCAAACACCCACUUUGA